rnacentral:ribozyme from 1 species
ACAUUGUACAGUUAUCUUUUGUUGUUGUACUGCUGUAUUUGUUUGUUAUUUUUGUACACUGUCAGUGCUCCAAACCUGUCUU